rnacentral:lncRNA from 1 species
UUAUCCAAAUCAACCAUGCUUCUCAACUAUCAAAAAAAGGACUGGAUUGAUAUAAGAAAGGAAAUAACGCAUUAAAUGGAAAGUAAAAAUAAAACAAAAUAAGAAUGGGGGCGCAUGUCUCGAACCCAGAUCAUGGGGGUUGGGAGAUCGAAGCCUCAAUCAUCCCACCCAUGACCCUCAACUUGUCAACAAUAGGCAAUGAAUAAUAUAUAAAAAGAAAAAACGGAAUAAAUGGA